rnacentral:tRNA from 1 species
UUAUUGGUAGGUUAAUUAAAACCGGCAAAUUGUGGUUUUGCAGAUUACCUUGGUAUCAGUAAC